UACAGAGGCCUCGAGCGUUGUUCGGAAUUACUGGGCGUAAAGGGAAUGUAGGUGGUGACGUAAGUCAGAUGUGAAAGCCCUGGGCUUAACCUGGGAAGUGCAUUUGAUACUGCGUUGCUCGAGUGCGAGAGAGGAAAGCGGAAUUCCUAGUGUAGGAGUGAAAUCCGUAGAUAUUAGGAGGAAUACCGAUGGCGAAGGCAGCUUUCUGGCUCGCAACUGACACUGAGAUUCGAAAGCGUGGGUAGCAAAC
rnacentral:rRNA from 1 species